UACGUAGGUGACAAGCGUUGUCCGGAUUUACUGGGCGUAAAGAGCGCGCAGGCGGUCGAUCAAGUCGAGUGUGAAAGCCCCCGGCUCAACUGGGGAGGGUCAUUCGAUACUGAUCGACUCGAAGGCAGGAGAGGGUAGUGGAAUUCCCGGUGUAGUGGUGAAAUGCGCAGAUAUCAGGAGGAACACCGGUGGCGAAGGCGGGUCUCUGGGCCGAUACUGACGCGGAGGAGCGAAAGCAUGGGUAGCGAACAGG
rnacentral:rRNA from 1 species